AUUGAACGCUGGCGGCAUGCUUUACACAUGCAAGUCGGACGGCAGCGGGGGUGCUUGCACCUGCCGGCGAGUGGCGAACGGGUGAGUAACAUAUUGGAAUGUACCGAGUAGUGGGGGAUAACCAAUCGAAAGAUUGGCUAAUACCGCAUACGUCCUGAGGGGGAAAGCAGGGGAUCUUCGGACCUUGCGCUAUUUGAGCAGCCAAUAUCUGAUUAGCUAGUUGGUGGGGUAAAGGCCCACCAAGGCGACGAUCAGUAGCGGGUCUGAGAGGAUGAUCCGCCACACUGGGACUGAGACACGGCCCAGACUCCUACGGGAGGCAGCAGUGGGGAAUUUUGGACAAUGGGGGCAACCCUGAUCCAGCCAUGCCGCGCGUCUGAAGAAGGCCUUCGGGUUGUAAAGGACUUUUGUUAGGGAAGAAAAGAGAAGUGUUAAUACCACUUUUUGCUGACGGUACCUAAAGAAUAAGCAC
rnacentral:rRNA from 1 species